UACGUAGGGUGCAAGCGUUAAUCGGAAUUACUGGGCGUAAAGCGUGCGCAGGCGGUUUUGUAAGUCUGUCGUGAAAUCCCCGGGCUCAACCUGGGAAUUGCGAUGGAGACUGCAAGGCUAGAAUCUGGCAGAGGGGGUAGAAUUCCACGUGUAGCGGUGAAAUGCGUAGAGAGUGUGGAGGAACGACCGAUGGCGCAAGGCAGCCCCCUGG
rnacentral:rRNA from 1 species